rnacentral:rRNA from 1 species
UACAGAGGGUGCGAGCGUUAAUCGGAAUUACUGGGCGUAAAGCGUGCGUAGACGGUUAUUUAAGUCGGGUGUGAAAGCCCCGGGCUCAACCUGGGAAUUGCAUUCGAGACUGAAUAGCUAGGGUACGGUAGAGGGAAGUGGAAUUUCCGGUGUAGCGGUGAAAUGCGUAGAUAUCGGAAGGAACACCAGUGGCGAAGGCGACUACCUGGCCUGUUCUUGACGCUGAGGCGCGAAAGCUAGGGGAGCAAACGGG